GACGAACGCUGGCGGCGUGCUUAACACAUGCAAGUCGAACGGAAAGGCCCUGCUUUUGUGGGGUGCUCGAGUGGCGAACGGGUGAGUAACACGUGAGUAACCUGCCCUUGACUUUGGGAUAACUUCAGGAAACUGGGGCUAAUACCGGAUAGGAGCUCCUGCUGCAUGGUGGGGGUUGGAAAGUUUCGGCGGUUGGGGAUGGACUAGCGGCUUAUCAGCUUGUUGGUGGGGUAGUGGCUUACCAAGGCUUUGACGGGUAGCCGGCCUGAGAGGGUGACCGGCCACAUUGGGACUGAGAUACGGCCCAGACUCCUACAGGAGGCAACAGUGGAAAAUAUUGCACAAUGAGCGGAAGCCUGAUGCAGCAACGCCGCGUGCGGAAUAACGUCCUUCGAGUUGUAAACCACUUUCGACUGUGACGAAGCGUGAGUGACGGUAAUGAGUAAAAAAGCACCGGCUAACUACGUG
rnacentral:rRNA from 1 species